UACACUCCUACGGGAGGCAGCAGUGGGGAAUAUUGCACAAUGGGCGCAAGCCUGAUGCAGCGACGCCGCGUGGGGGAUGAAGGCCUUCGGGUUGUAAACUCCUUUCGCUAGGGACGAAGCUUUUUUGUGACGGUACCUAGAUAAGAAGCACCGGCUAACUACGUGCCAGCAGCCGCGGUAAUACGUAGGGUGCGAGCGUUGUCCGGAAUUACUGGGCGUAAAGGGCUCGUAGGUGGUUUGUCGCGUCGUCUGUGAAAUUCUGGGGCUUAACUCCGGGCGUGCAGGCGAUACGGGCAUAACUUGAGUGCUGUAGGGGUAACUGGAAUUCCUGGUGUAGCGGUGAAAUGCGCAGAUAUCAGGAGGAACACCGAUGGCGAAGGCAGGUUACUGGGCAGUUACUGACGCUGAGGAGCGAAAGCAUGGGUAGCGAACAGGAUUAGAUACCCCUGUAGUCCCAUG
rnacentral:rRNA from 1 species